GUGCUACCGACAUGGGAGUGGGUAAUGCAUCCUCUUGCCAUUCCCUGUGUUUGGUCCUUGCCUGUGACGGUGGGAAAAGCAAAUGGCCUCGCUGUACUACAACCAGGGCUGCAGUCAGCGCUUUGAUCCUGAGACCAAUUCUGAUCAUGCUUGCACAUACCACCCAGGUGUUCCAGUCUUUCACGAUGCAUUAGAGGGUUGGUCUUGCUGUAACAGAAGAACAACUGAUUUUUCUGAUUUCUUAAGCAUUGUUGCCUGUACAAAAGUUAUACAUAAUAGUGAGAAACCACCUGAGCCAGUCAAACCUGAAGUCAGGACUACUGAGAAGAAGAAACUAUCUGAAUUGAAACCCAAAUUUCAGGAACACAUCAUUCAAGCCCCUAAGCCAGUAGAAGCAAUAGAAAGGCCAAGCCCAGAUGAAGAAUUGACAGAUUUGGAAUUAAAAAUAUCUGCCUCUCUGAAACAAGCACUUGAUAAACUAUCAUCAGGGAAUGAAAGAAGAUAAGAAGGAAGAAGACAAUAAUGACAUUAAUAUUGGGACCUCAUUUAAGAAUGGAGAGUGUUCGAAGACAUAUCCGGGUCUAGAGAGUCUAGAAGUUUUCUGUGUAUAUCAUUCUGGAGUACCUAUUUUCCAUGAGGGGAUGAAAUACUGGAGCUGUUGUAGAAGAAAAACUUCUGAUUUUAAUACUUUCUCAGCCCAAGAGGACUGUACAACAGGGAAACACAUGUGGACUAAAAAGCAUGCUGGGGAAAAGUUGUUCUAUGUAGACAUGACUGGCAUGAGAGUACAGGUAAAGUUAUCAUUUCAGUAGAUGCUAAAAAUUCACUUCUAGAACUUAGUCGAGUAGAAGCGAAUAGCACAUUGUUAAAUGUGCACAUUGUAUUUGAAGGAGAGAAGGAAACAGAUCAAAAUAUGAAAUUAUGGGGUGUGAUUGAUGUAAAGUGAAGUUAUGUAACUAUGACUGCAACAAAGAUUGAGAUCACUAUGAGAAAAGCUGAACCGAUGCAGUGGGUAAAACCUUGAGCUGCCUGCAGCAAAAAAGCAGAAAAAAACAAAAAGAUGACACAACAGAUCGAGUAGGAGAUGAGAGGAAGGCUAUUAUGUAUUUCAGAAUUCUUAAUACCGUGUGA